GACGAACGCUGGCGGCGUGCCUAAUACAUGCAAGUCGAACGAGUGGCGGACGGGUGAGUAACACGUGGGUAACUACCCAUCAGAGGGGGAUAACAGUUGGAAACGACUGCUAAUACCGCAUACGAUUGGAUUGCCCAGGGGGGAGUAGCUAGUUGGUGAGGUAAUGGCUCACCAAGGCGACGAUCCCUAGCUGGUCUGAGAGGAUGAUCCGCCACACUGGAACUGGGACACGGGCCAGACUCCUACGGGAGGCAGCAGUGGGGAAUAUUGCACAAUGGGGGAAACCCUUAUACAGCCAUGCCGCGUUUGUGAAGAAGGCCUUCGGGUUGUAAAGCACUUUCAGCGAGGAGGCGUUACUCGCAGAAGAAGCACCGGCUAACUCCGUGCCAGCAGCCGCGGUAAUAC
rnacentral:rRNA from 1 species